UUGGAGGGCAAGUCUGGUGCCAGCAGCCGCGGUAAUUCCAGCUCCAAUAGCGUAUAUUAAAGUUGUUGUGGUUAAAAAGCUCGUAGUUGAACCUUGGGCCUGGCUGGCCGGUCCGCCUCACCGCGUGUACUGGUCCGGCCGGGUCUUUCCCUCUGUGGAACCCCAUGCCCUUCACUGGGUGUGGCGGGGAAACAGGACUUUUACUUUGAAAAAAUUAGAGUGCUCCAGGCAGGCCUAUGCUCGAAUACAUUAGCAUGGAAUAAUGAAAUAGGACGUGCGG
rnacentral:rRNA from 1 species